rnacentral:rRNA from 1 species
UUGGAACGCUGGCGGCAUGGCUAAAACAUGCAAGUCGAGCGCGAAAGGGGCUUCGGCCCCGAGUAGAGCGGCGAAAGGGUGAGUAACACGUUCCUACGUGCCUUGAGGUCAGGGAUAGCCAGGGGAAACUCUGGGUAAUACCUGAUGUGGUCUCCGGAUCAAAGGCUUGCCGCCUCAAGAGCGGGGAACGUCCUAUCAGGUUGUUGGUGAGGUAACGGCUCACCAAGCCUUCGACGGGUAGCGGGUGUGAGAGCAUGGCCCGCCACAUCGGAACUGAGACACUGUCCGGACUCCUACGGGAGGCUGCAGUAACGAAUCUUCCGCAAUGCGCGAAAGCGUGAUGGAGCAAUGCCGCGUGCAGGAUGAAGCCCUCGGGGCGUAAACUGCUGUCAGGGGUUAGCAACACAAUGAGCAGCCCCAAAGGAAGAGACGACUAACUCUGUGCCAGCAGUCGCGGUAAUACAGAGGUCUCGAGCGUUCAACGGAUUCU